AUACGUAGGUCCCGAACGUUGCUGGAAAUUACUGGGCGUAAAGGGUCCGUAGGCGGUCUGGUAAGUGGAAGGUGAAAGCCUGGGGCUCAACUCCAGAAUUGCCUUCCAAACUGCCGGACUUGAGGCAGGGAGAGGUCGGCGGAAUUCCCGGUGUAUCGGUGAAAUGCGUAGAUAUCGGGAGGAACACCAGUGGCGAAGGCGGCCGACUGGAACUGUCCUGACGCUGAGGGACGAAAGCCAGGGGAGCGAACCGGAUUAGAAACCCCAGUAGUCC
rnacentral:rRNA from 1 species